UACGGGGGGAGCAAGCGUUGUUCGGAUUACUGGGCGUAAAGGGCGCGUAGGCGGCGCAACAAGUCACUUGUGAAAUCUCCGGGCUUAACCCGGAGCGGUCAAGUGAUACUGUCGUGCUAGAGUGCGGAAGGGGCUACUGGAAUUCUCGGUGUAGCGGUGAAAUGCGUAGACUAUCGAGAGGAACACCUGCGGCGAAGGCGGGUAGCUGGGCCGACACUGACGCUGAUGCGCGAAAGCCCAGGGGAGCGAACGGG
rnacentral:rRNA from 1 species